CCACCUCCAAGAGCAAGAAUGGUCUCCCGGAACUUGUGCCCCGUUUCUUUAACAGCCUGUACAUUUUGAGUAAAACACAUAAUAAUCAAACUCAAACAUGUAACAAUAAAUAUAUAUACCAACUUGCAAUUUACAUGUAUGGCAACAAGCUGAGUAAAAUUAAGUAUUGCUGAAGUAUCAUUAAACAGGAUUAAUAAGGAGUAUUAAACAUGGAAAAUAGAGGAUUUUCUUUAUCAAACACAAAGGCAAGUCCAUAAAGAGUAAAGUACAACAAUAUUAACAGUAUACCUCCUC
rnacentral:lncRNA from 1 species